rnacentral:rRNA from 1 species
AUUGAACGCUGGCGGCAUGCUUUACACAUGCAAGUCGAACGGUAACAGGCCUUCGGGCGCUGACGAGUGGCGAACGGGUGAGUAAUGCAUCGGAACGUGCCCAGCCGUGGGGGAUAACGCAGCGAAAGCUGUGCUAAUACCGCAUACGAUCUGCGGAUGAAAGCGGGGGACCUUCGGGACUCGCGCGAUUGGAGCGGCCGAUGUCAGGUUAGGUAGUUGGUGGGGUAAAGGCUCACCAAGCCAACGAUCUGUAGCUGGUCUGAGAGGACGACCAGCCACACUGGGACUGAGACACGGCCCAGACUCCUACGGGAGGCAGCAGUGGGGAAUUUUGGACAAUGGGCGCAAGCCUGAUCCAGCAAUGCCGCGUGCAGGAAGAAGGCCUUCGGGUUGUAAACUGCUUUUGUACGGAGCGAAAAGGCUCCCUCUAAUACAGGGGGCUCAUGACGGUACCGUAAGAAUAAGCACCGGCUAACUACGUGCCAGCCGCCGCCGUAAAAC